GGGUAGCGGAGAAAUUCCAAUCGAACCCGGAGAUAGCUGGUUCUCCCCGAAAUAGCUUUAGGGCUAGCGUCGAGGUAAGUUGCGUGAAGGUAGAGCACUGAAUAUGUGAUGGCCCCAUCUCGGGGUACUGAGCAUAAUCAAACUGCGAAUGUCACGCCAACAUGCUCGGCAGUCAGACAGCGGGUGAUAAGGUCCGUUGUCAAGAGGGAAACAGCCCAGACCAUCAGCUAAGGUCCCAAAAUGUAUGCUAAGUGGAAAAGGAUGUGGAGAUGUACAGACAACUAGGAGGUUGGCUCAGAAGCAGCCAUCCUUUAAAGAGUGCGUAACAGCUCACUAGUCGAAUGACUCUGCGCCGAUAAUUUACCGGGGCUAAGCAUACUACCGAAGCUAUGGAUCCCAAGGGAUGGUAGGGGAGCGUUCCAUGAACGGAGAAGUACGACCGAAAGGACGUGUGGAGAUCAUGGAAGAGAGAAUGCCGGUGUGAGUAGCGGAACGUGGGUGAGAAUCCCACGCACCGAAAACCCAAGGUUUCCAGAGGAAGGUUCGUCCGCUCUGGGUAAGUCGGGACCUAAGGCGAGGCCGAAAGGCGUAGUCGAUGGACAACAGGUAGAGAUUCCUGUACCCGUAUAUAUGUGAAGGAAUGACGGAGAGAGGAAGCUGCAGCCAGCGGCUGGAAGAGCUGGUGCAAGCGAGAUAUCGGGAUGGCAGGCAAAUCCACCAUCCGAAACGAGAAGGCGUGAAGCGUACGGAAAGCUACGGCGAGUACGGAAGGCAGUGGAGGAACUUCCAAGAAAAGUUUCUAACGUUAAGUAUAUAUGGCCCGUACCGAAAAUGGACACACAUGGGUGAGGAGAGAAUCCUAAGGUGAGCGAGAGAACUAUAGCUAAGGAACUCUGCAAAAUGACUCCGUAACUUAGGGAGAAGGAGUGCUCAUAGAGAUAUGAGCCGCAGUGAAACGGCCCAAGCGACUGUUUACCAAAAACACAGCUCUCUGCUAAGCCGCAAGGCGAAGUAUAGGGGGUGACGCCUGCCCGGUGCUGGAAGGUUAAGGGGAGGGGUUAACGCAAGUGAAGCCCUGAACUGAAGCCCCAGUAAACGGCGGCCGUAACUAUAACGGUCCUAAGGUAGCGAAAUUCCUUGUCAGGUAAGUUCUGACCCGCACGAAAGGCGUAACGAUUUGGGCGCUGUCUCAGCUGUAGACUCGGUGAAGUCUUAGUACCUGUGAAGAUGCAGGUUACCCGCGACUAGACGGAAAGACCCCAUGGAGCUUCACUGCAGGUUGAUAUUGGGAUUUGAUGCAGCAUGUACAGGAUAGGUAGGAGGCAAAGAGAUGGAUACGCCAGUAUUCAAGGAGCCGCUGUUGGGAUACUACCCCUGUUGUAUUGGAUUUCUAACCGGACGACGUAGAGCCGUUGACGGGACAGUGUCAGUCGGGCAGUUUGACUGGGGCGGUCGCCUCCCAAAGAGUAACGGAGGCGCCCAAAGAUACCCUCAGCUUGGAUGGAAACCAAGCGCAGAGUGCAAAGGCAAAAGGGUGUUUGACUGCGAGACCCACAAGUCGAGCAGGGACGAAAGUCGGGCUUAGUGAUCCGGCGGUGCUGAAUGGAAAGGCCGUCGCUCAACGGAUAAAAGCUACCCUGGGGAUAACAGGCUGAUCUCCCCCAA
rnacentral:rRNA from 1 species